rnacentral:rRNA from 1 species
GUUUACGGCCAUACCAUACCAGCCUGAAUACGCCCGAUCUCGUCUGAUCUCGGAAGCUAAGCAGGGUCGGGCCUGGUUAGUACUUGGAUGGGAGACCGCCUGGGAAUACCAGGUGCUGUAAGCU